CUGCUGCCCUGCCUGUGCUUCAAGCUGCAAUGCUUUACUAGGUCCGACUGUGUGUGGAAGGACUAAAUGCUUUAUUAUGUUCGACU